rnacentral:rRNA from 1 species
GUAGGUGGCAAGCGUUGUCCGGAAUUAUUGGGCGUAAAGCGCGCGCAGGCGGUUCUUUAAGUCUGAUGUGAAAGCCCACGGCUCAACCGUGGAGGGUCAUUGGAAACUGGAGAACUUGAGUACAGAAGAGGAAAGCGGAAUUCCACGUGUAGCGGUGAAAUGCGUAGAGAUGUGGAGGAACACCAGUGGCGAAGGCGGCUUUCUGGUCUGUAACUGACGCUGAGGCGCGAAAGCGUGGGGAGCGAACAGGGAUUAGAUACCCUGGUAGUCCACGCCGUAAACGAUGAGUGCUAAGUGUUAGGGGGUUUCCGCCCCCUUAGUGCUGCAGCUAACGCAUUAAGCACUCCGCCUGGGGAGUACGGCCGCAAGGCUG